CUACCUAAUAGCCCCGGGAAACUGGGAGUAAUACCGUAUGUGCCCUUCGGGGGAAAGAUUUAUCGGCAAAGGAUCGGCCCGCGUUGGAUUAGGUAGUUGGUGGGGUAACGGCCCACCAAGCCGACGAUCCAUAGCUGGUUUGAGAGGAUGAUCAGCCACACUGGGACUGAGACACGGCCCAGACUCCUACGGGAGGCAGCAGUGGGGAAUCUUAGACAAUGGGGGAAACCCUGAUCUAGCCAUGCCGCGUGAGCGAUGAAGGCCUUAGGGUUGUAAAGCUCUUUCAGCUGGGAAGAUAAUGACGGUACCAGCAGAAGAAGCCCCGGCUAACUCCGUGCCAGCAGCCGCGGUAAUACGGAGGGGGCUAGCGUUGUUCGGAAUUACUGGGCGUAAAGCGCACGUAGGCGGAUUGGAAAGUUGGGGGUGAAAUCCCGGGGCUCAACCUCGGAACUGCCUCCAAAACUCCCAGUCUUGAGGUCGAGAGAGGUGAGUGGAAUUCCGAGUGUAGAGGUGAAAUU
rnacentral:rRNA from 1 species